UGCUAAGUCAGCUUUCCUAAGAAGUGGGAGUGUAGUACUAGUGGUGCCAUUUCCUAUGUUUUAAACUAUGCAGCAGUAGAGCCUAGGAUGGGGAAUAUCUAACUCUCAGCUUUCUUCAGCCCAAGGUGGAAAUGUUCUCCCAUUUCCAAGACCAGCAGAGCACCCUGUAUCCUACAUGAGAGCACCCACCUCUUCUUUUCAAGCCAAGCCAUGAAAACAAAGGAGAACCGAGCAGCAGCCAGCAGAGACACCCCAAAGUGAUGCAGCCGUACCAGCAACGGGGAACUCAUCCCUGGUGAUACCAGGAGAAAUCCCAACUCAUCUCCAGGACACUGAAGCAGAGUGUAGGAGCCUGUAGGCCUCCACUGGGGUUGCUUUGGGAGAGGCUGACCCAGCUGGACUGCAGUGGUAGGGACUGCAGCAAAGAGCCUGAGCAACAUUCAAGAAAGCUGAUGAGUUGACUGGCAUCAGAGACUGUCCAAACCAAGGAGUCAGAUGGAAAGGACCACGAGGGAAAUUGGGCUGCAUACCCAAGAGAAGGCUUUGAAACAAUGCAAUCCCAUUUUCACAACGUCCAGCAUGGAGAUGUGAUGUCCAAAUCUCCAGUACCACUGUGCUUGCACAGGCAGAGCCUUGCCAGCUUUUCAGUCAGGCUGAGGCUGAAUUUGCCACAAGAGCAAGUCCUAGGAUGUGCAUUCAAGACGAGGAACAGGACCUUGUCCCACAGAGAACUUUUCCACCAAGCAAGCCCAGGGUGUCAGACUAGGAGCCUGUUUCUGUUUUCUGCAUUACAUUCAGCUCAAUCAAUCAUUCAAUGGCUUCCAUCCUUAUUUUUCCUCUGUCCUUUCCAGUCAGACUUUGUUCUCUUCAGACUGGUGGUGGGUUUGUGCCUGGUACAGAGGGUGCUCACCUGAGCCAGGGACAUGAUGGUUGCUGUCAUGCUAAUCAUAAUUUUCCUCAGAAAGGAAAUAGCAAAUGCCUUUGUGUCUUGUUCUCCUGCCCUUGUGCUCCCAGACCACUGCUCUGAGGACAGGACACUUCCCCUCUGCCUCCUUUUGCUCUGAUUUGCCUUGCCUUCCCCAAGCCCUACUGCUAACUGCACUCUCACUGAUUAUUUUCUUUUCAGAGGCUGUAAACUUCAGUUCCUGCUCAGCUUGCAUUAGUGUCAGAGAAGUAUCUCUUGGCUGUUUACAGAAGAGAAAAUGGAAAGAUGAGCAUUAUUUCAUGUGAAAUAUGGUAGAGAGCCUAUGCUGAGUUUCUCUGUGAGGCCUGAGGCUCCAGCUACCUGAAGAAGCUGGUGAAAGCAUCCGUCAUCUGGUGAUUCAUCUCCCCUUGCCAUGGCUCUGGCCCUGCUCUGCGUGGGUGUCUCACAGCUCUCAUCAACUCUGGUUUUGAUGCAGACCAGGAGCUGCUGGGCUGUUCGCCCAAGUUUAUCUUGUAUGAAAGAGUUUGCUUGCUUUUCAAUUGUCUGGUGUUCUCCUGAAGAUGUAAAUUAAAA
ensembl:lncRNA